CUUCCUGUUGUCUGCACAAGAUGUAGAACUCUCCAGCACCAUGUCUGACUGCACACUGCCAUGUCCCACUAUGAUGAAAAUGAACUGAAUCUCUGAACUAUGCCAGUUCCAGAGAGUAUGGAAUGUAUGCUGUCUCCUUCACUGAUGUAUAGUGUCUAGAAUGGAACCUGGCCUUUACAAAGCAGUCAAACAAUUGUGUUACUGAAUAAAUUAAUGAAUUAUUA